rnacentral:rRNA from 1 species
UGGGGAAUUGUUCACAAUGGGCGCAAGCCUGAUGACGCAACGCCGCGUGGGGGAUGAGGGUCUUCGGAUUGUAAACCCCUGUCGAAUGGGACGAAAGACUCGCGAGUUAAUACUUCGCGGGAGUGACGGUACCGUUAAAGGAAGCCACGGCUAACUCUGUGCCAGCAGCCGCGGUAAUACAGAGGUGGCAAGCGUUGUUCGGAAUUACUGGGCGUAAAGGGCGCGUAGGCGGCCUACUAAGUCAGACGUGAAAUCCCCCGGCUUAACCUGGGAACUGCGUCUGAUACUGGCUGUCUAGAGUUCGAGAGAGGUGAGUGGAAUUCCUAGUGUAGAGGUGAAAUUCGUAGAUAUUAGGAAGAACACCGGUGGCGAAGGCGGCUCACUGGCUCGAUACUGACACUGAGGUGCGAAAGCGUGGGGAGCAAACAGGAUUAGAUACCCCCGUAGUCCCUGAGCGGGCUGGCAAGGCGCAU